rnacentral:misc_RNA from 1 species
GAUGAAGAACGUAGUGAAAUGCGAUAAGUAAUGUGAAUUGCAGAAUUCAGUGAAUCAUCGAAUCUUUGAACGCACAUUGCGCCCCCUGGUAUUCCGGGGGGCAUGCCUGUCCGAGCGUCAUUGCUGCCCUCAAGCACGGCUUGUGUGUUGGGCCCCGUCCUCCGAUCCCGGGGGACGGGCCCGAAAGGCAGCGGCGGCACCGCGUCCGGUCCUCGAGCGUAUGGGGCUUUGUCACCCGCUCUGUAGGCCCGGCCGGCGCCUGCCGAUCAACCCAAAUUUUUUAUCCAGGUUGACCUCGGAUCAGGUAGGGAUACCCGCUGAACUUAAGCAUAUCAAUAAGCGGAGGA